GGAAUCUUCCACAAUGGGCGAAAGCCUGAUGGAGCAACGCCGCGUGUGUGAUGAAGGGUUUCGGCUCGUAAAACACUGUUGUAAGAGAAGAAUGACAUUGAGAGUAACUGUUCAAUGUGUGACGGUAUCUUACCAGAAAGGAACGGCGAAAUACGUGCUAG
rnacentral:rRNA from 1 species